UGGUGGAGUGAUUUGUCUGGUUGAUUCCGAUAACGAACGAGACCCGGGCUCUAAAUAGUGCUUUAUUCUCACGAAUGGCGAGCGCUUCUUUAGAGGACAACUCAGGUUUACUGAGAGGAAGCACCGGUCAAUAACA
rnacentral:rRNA from 1 species